AGUAUACUCCCUCCGUCCGAAAAUACUUGUCAUCAAAAUGAACAAAAAGAGAUGUAUCUAGAACUAAAAUACAUCUAGAUACAUCCCCUUUUAUUCAUUUUGAUGACAAGUAUUUCCGGACGGAGGGAGUAUAUA
rnacentral:pre_miRNA from 1 species